rnacentral:rRNA from 1 species
CCUACGGGUGGCAGCAGUGAGGAAUAUUGGUCAAUGGACGAGAGUCUGAACCAGCCAAGUAGCGUGAAGGAUGACUGCCCUAUGGGUUGUAAACUUCUUUUAUAUGGGAAUAAAAUGUUCCACGUGUGGGAUUUUGUAUGUACCAUAUGAAUAAGGAUCGACUAACUCCGUGCCAGCAGCCGCGGUAAUACGGAGGAUCCGAGCGUUAUACGGAUUUAUUGGGUUUAAAGGGAGCGUAGGUGGAUUGUUAAGUCAGUUGUGAAAGUUUGCGGCUCAACCGUAAAAUUGCAGUUGAAACUGGCAGUCGUGAGUACAGUAGAGGUGGGCGGAAUUCGUGGUGUAGCGGUGAAAUGCUUAGAUAUCACGAAGAACUCCGAUUGCGAAGGCAGCUCACUGGACUGCAACUGACACUGAGGCUCGAAAGUGUGGGUAUCAAACAGGAUUAGAUACCCCUGUAGUC